rfam:Beta vulgaris subsp. vulgaris Bvchr8.sca016.con0013.1, whole genome shotgun sequence.
GAUGCGGUUUUUUUAAAAACCACAUCCGAAAAUCAACCAAAAAAUGG